GCCCACCAGCUAGCCCCAUCCUUAUAACUAACAAAUCCCUUUUAUUAACCCUUAACCCCCCCCCCACCAUACAAUUAAACCAUUCUACCUCCUUAGUACGGGCGACAGAAAAGAAAAUUGUGGAGCUAUAGCCAAAGUACCGCAAGGGAAAGCUGAAAGAGAGAUGAAAUAGCCCAGUGAAGCCUAGAAAAGCAGAGAUUAACCCUCGUACCUUUUGCAUCAUGAUUUAGCUAGCACCUUUGGGCAAAGGGUACUUUAGUCCAAAGCCCCGAAACUAAGGGAGCUACUUCAAGCCAGCCUAUAAAUUAGGGCAAACCCGUCUCUGUGGCAAAAGAGUGGGAAGAGCUUUGAGUAGAGGCGACAGACCUACCGAACUUAGUUAUAGCUGGUUGUCUGGGAAACGGAUAGGAGUUCAGCCUCUCGGAUUCUUACUUCACCACUUGUUUAUAUACCUGCGGAUAUCUUGAGAAGCCUAGAGAGUUAUUCAAAGGGGGUACAGCCCCUUUGAAAUAGGACACAACCUUUGAAGACGGGUAAAGAUCAUAAUACUGAAGGAAAACCUGUCUUAGUGGGCCUAAAAGCAGCCACCCUGGAAGAAAGCGUUAAAGCUUAGACAUACCUCAACCCUACGAUUCUGAUCAUUUAUCUCAGCCCCCUUUAAUCUACCAGACCGCCCUAUGCCAACAUAGGGGCGACCAUGCUAAUAUGAGUAAUAAGAGAACACUUGCUUCUCUCUCCAGCACACGCAUAAAUCGGAACGGACUACCCCCCGAACAUUAACGACCCCAAACUAAGAGGGUACUGAAAAAAGACCUAAAAACCAGAAAACCUUUCAACAUACAACCGUUAACCCCACACUGGUGUGCCCCCCGAGAAAGACUAAAAGAAAAAGAAGGAACUCGGCAAACAUAUCCCACAAGCCUCGCCUGUUUACCAAAAACAUCGCCUCUUGCAAACCCAAAGAAUAAGAGGUCCCGCCUGCCCAGUGACACCCAGUUUAACGGCCGCGGUAUUUUGACCGUGCAAAGGUAGCGUAAUCACUUGUCUUUUAAAUGAAGACCUGUAUGAAUGGCAUAACGAGGGCUUAACUGUCUCCUUUUUCAAGUCAAUGAAGUUGAUUUCCCCGUGCAGAAGCGGAGAUACUAACAUAAGACGAGAAGACCCUAUGGAGCUUGAGACGACAAGACAGCCCAUGUUAAACACCCCGCCCCCCACCGGAUUAAACUAAAUGACCCCUGCCUUAGUGUCUUCGGUUGGGGCGACCCUGGGGAACACAAAACCCCCACGUGGAAUGGGAGCAGCCACCCCACCUACUCCCCCAAAUUAGAGCCACACCUCAAAUUAACAGAAUUUUUGACCAGAAUGAUCCGGCAACGCCGAUCAACGAACCAAGUUACCCUAGGGAUAACAGCGCAAUCCCCUUUUAGAGCCCAUAUCGACAAGGGGGUUUACGACCUCGAUGUUGGAUCAGGACAUCCUAAUGGUGCAGCCGCUAUUAAGGGUUCGUUUGUUCAACGAUUAAAGUCCUACGUGAUCUGAGUUCAGACCGGAGUAAUCCAGGUCAGUUUCUAUCUAUGAAAUGACCUUUUCUAGUACGAAAGGACCGAAAAGGAAAGGCCCCUGCUUUAAGCACGCCUUCCCCCCACCUGAUGAAAACAUCUAAAUCAGGCAAAGGGGCAUGUUCCUCCUGCCGGAGAGAACGGCAA
rnacentral:rRNA from 1 species